GGUAAUGUUGUGUGGUAAAUGUUCCAAUUUACCACAGGACAAUACCACACGACAUUACCACACAUUACCACACAAUACCACAGGACAUAAAGACAUAGCAUUACCACACAACAAUAUAUGUGGUAAUCGUGUGGUACAGUCCUAUGGUAAUUAUAUGGUAUUACCACAGGACAUUUUUGUAAGGGCAGCUUUUAUGUAGGUUUGUUUCAAGAUCCAUUUAUGAUGUUUUGAACGUUUUUGAUGAUGUAUGACUGCUCUCUGCUUUCACAAAGGCAGUAAGCCAUCAAGGUUUUUUUUUGUAUUUGGAUCAAUCAAAUUGACUGGGAAUCUCUCGGAUUUCUCUUUUAUCCAAUUAUGCCGUUGUGAAUUUUUUUUUAUGAUGUAGGGUUCGUGUCUAUUUUAACAAAUCUGCUACACUCCCAAUGUUUUUCUCAUUAUGGAUUGGUUCGAUUAGAUUGUCUGACAUUUUAUAUUGGUGACCCGAAAGACCCGAAAAUAUCCUAUGUAAAGUGUUUAAACAGUUAAAAACACCUUAAGGUGAUGAUCUUGUACAUUUUUUUUUUACAAAGACAAGCAGUGUACGUAAAGCCUUAUGUAAUUAAAGUGGCUGAAUUUAGAAUUUCUACUAUAUCCAUGGCGGACUCGUCCAAGCUUUUAUUUUUUUAAAAACAAGUUCACACCUCGUUACCUAUAAUGCACAUAGCAUUUCCAUUUAUUUGAAAGAAAGAUAAAAGAGCAUUGUAGAUUAAAUGCCUUGCUCACGGGCAUAGCUGCCGCGGCCGGGGAUCAAACCCCGGACUUUCUCAGGUAUAGCCAGGCGCCUUAGACCACUCGGCCACGGCACCUCCACAAGCUUUUAAUUGUGCAUAAUGAUUGAUAAUGAUAGGUUGAAAUUCUUACAGCCAGUGUGAUUCACUACAAUUAUGUUGCAUCUGAUUACAAAAUAUAAAUCUUUUAUUUUUUGUCUGACAUUUCAUACAAUACAAAUAUAUUACUGAUUCAAUUAUGUCAUCACUAUAAUUUUAUCUUAUUUAUCUUAUCAACAAGCAGUGCCAACAGAGUUUGCACUGAAACCUUUGAAUACAACGGUAUAGUGGUGGAGAAAGGAGUCCAAGUUAUUUUCCCGUUGAAAGCAAUCCAUCACAAUCCUGAGUAUUGGCCUGAGCCAGAGAAGUUUGAUCCUGAAAGAUUUAACAAGUCUGAACGAGAGAAGAGACACCCAUAUUCUUACCUGCCCUUUGGAAGCGGUCCUCGAAACUGCGUUGGAAUGCGUUUCGCUCUCAUGGAAACCAAGAUGGCCGUUUGCCGUCUUCUUCAGAAGUUUAGAUUCGAGACGUGUGCACAGACUGAGAUUCCACCAGUAUUCGGGGGAGGUGGUACCCUUACUCCACCCAACGGGGUUACACUCAAAGCGAUACCAAGAACAGAUUCAGUUGCCUGAAUGAUCCCACAGUCUUUCAACACGGUUCAUGAAUUGGCGUAGUUGACAGGGGCCCCGGAACGGUUUUCAAAAUGGGGGGGGGGGGGGGUGCUGACCAUGCAAAAAAUCACAAUCGUAUGGUCAUUUUUACGGUUUUGUACAUGGUUUUGGAAAAAAGUGGGGGGGGGGGGGCUGAAGCCAACCCAGCCCCCCCGCUUCCGCGGCCCCUGGUUGAUAAUGCAGUCAAUCCAGUGGGUCGGACAAACUGAUCAGUACACUGUAAAAAUUGUGGUGUUAAAACUGACACCAAUUGGUGUUAAUAGAGGACCACACCCUGAGGUGUUAAAAUAACACCAUAGAGAUUGAACAUAACACCAAAGAGUGUAAAUGUAACAACCAUAGGUGUUGUAAUAACACCUAUAGCUGUAAAACUAACACCACCAAUUUAACAUCGGUGUAAAAUGACUGGUGUGGUCCUCUGUGUACACCGGUUAACACCACAGUUUUUGCUGUGUAGAUUGCACCGAAUUCAGACUCCUGCUGCCAGGGUUAUCACUAAAACACGGUCUCGAGAAUCAGUUUUUCUUAUGCUUUGCAACUUACAUUUUUUAAAACAAGUUCACACCUAGUUACCAAUAAUGCAUAUAGCAUUUCCUUUUAUUUGAAAACGGGAUAAAAGAAGAAUGUAGAUUAAAUGCCUUGCUCAAGGGCAUAGCGGCCGCGUCCGGGGAUCGAACCCCGGACUUUUCCAUGUAUAGCCAGGCGCCUUAGACCACUCGGCCACGGCACCUCUAUUACAUUGGUUACCAGCGAAAGAUUGAUUUUCAAUUUUUGUGUAACUGUUUUAAAAUGUCAGCAUAAAGUGACCCCUUCAUACUUACAAUAGCUUCGUCAUGAGCAUCACCCGGGUAGGCAACCACGUUCAAGUAACAGAAAGAUGUUCAUUACCCUAAAUGUAAAUACAAUUUCAUAUGGACAAAGAGCAUUUCAAUAUUCAGUUCCUCAGCCAUGGAAUAAACUUCCCGAUAAUAUUAAAAGAUGUUCUUGUCUUGGUUUUUUAAAGUCUAUGUUAAAGUGUUACCUUUUCAUAAGAUAAAUUUAAAUUUCCAAUGAUGCAUUAUCUAAUUCGAAAUUGUAAAAAAUCUGCCUAAAAUAUGUGUAAUAAUGUAUUUAGGUUAUGUUUAACCCUUUGCAUGCUGAUGUUUCAAUUUUGCACAUCCGUACAAUUAAAUUCAACAGUCGUAGUACAUGUAAUAAUCAGUUUCGUCCCCUAGCUUCAUAUUAGAGAAGCUAAUAAAUGGCAAAAGUUCUUGUACAUCAUCUCUAAUAAUCAUCAGUCAAUGACAGUAUCAAUGGCUCAAAAUGGAAAUUUUGAUUCAAAGAAAAUAACAUGGAAACAAUUUUCAUUCUUAUUCCCCAAAAGUUAAUUCAGCGUGCAAAGAGUUGAUAAAGUAUUCAGGUUCAAAAUGAUUGUUUUUCUUUAUUUUCUGUCACUGUUUCUUUCUCAUACUACAUUCUAGAGCGCUAAUAGACUUAACUGUAAUUUGCGUUAUAUAAAAAUUGAGCAUUAUUAUUAUUCAUGCUUUUGGCAGUAGGCCUAUAUCAAAUGUUAUCAAAAUUAUUGUUUGCCCUGUAUCAAAUGCAUUUCAAGUUCAAGUUCAAGUUUUAUUUCAUUUCUCAACUCAAUACAAGAUAAGGAAUAAUUACACAGAUAUAAAAUGAUAACCGUACAAAUCAAUACAAAUGAAUAUACAUUGCAAGCAAUAUGACUAUACAAGAAAGUAAAUAAAUGUUUAUGGUAAACACUAAAUAACGUGAUAAUCAUAUUAACCAAUAACAAUAUAUACAAUGGAAAUAGAACAAAAUGUAUGCCAUUCUCGGAAAAAAAAAAUAUUAAAAAAAUGCAAGGCUACCUUUAUAACUCUUUUUUGUUUCCAAUAAGGUUGAGUAAAUGGAGGGAUCCACUAAAAAGCAGGGCUUGUUGAGUGUGGACCCCUCAGAGAAUUAAAGAUUUUUAAAGUACAGGUAUAAAACGAAAAUGAGAAUGAGAGAGAGAAAAAAAAGAAUAAGGUUGAUGUGAUGGUCGAUGAAGAAAUACCGAGAUAAUGGAUGAAGAAAUAUAUCAAAAGGAUAGGGUGGUGCACAUGUGUGGUUG